CGAAGGGAGCUAGCGUUACUCGGAAUCACUGGGCGUAAAGCGUAUGUAGGCGGAAUAUCAAGUCAGAGGUGAAAGCCCUGGGCUCAACCCAGGAAUUGCCUUUGAAACUGAUAUUCUUGAGUAUGGUAGAGGAUGGUGGAAUUUCUAGUGUAGAGGUGAAAUUCGUAGAUAUUAGAAAGAACACCGGUGGCGAAGGCGACCAUCUGGGCCAUUACUGACGCUGAGAUACGAAAGCGUGGGGAUCAAACAGGAUUAGAUACCCUGGUAGUCCACGCCGUAAACGAUGAGUGCUAGUUGUUAGAAUUUAUUCUAGUGACACAGUUAACACGUUAAGCACUCCGCCUGGGGAGUACGGUCGCAAGAUUA
rnacentral:rRNA from 1 species